AGUCACAAGAGUGGUGGUGACUCCCAGGCUCUCUCCACAAUGUGCUUUAUUUCCUGGCCCACUUACCACUGAGAGUGAAUUCUCCUUUUCACAAGAGGAAAAUUUUGGAGGAGAGCAUCCAAAAGGAAUGAUGUGUGGCUGUUGAGAGGUAACAUUUAACAAAAUCAUGGCCAUGGAGGAAAUUAAACUUUCACAGAAUGUCCAUAAUGAGCCUCUGAGUGCUGAUGUUUCAGGUAUGGUACAAAGUAGCUGCUUGAAGUUGCAAGUUAAAGAGACAGAAGCCAUCUUUUCCCUGUUGCUUUCAGUGGAUUUAACCACACAUUAACCAUACAAUGACAUUAUGUCAUCUGUCUGGGACACAACGAAGCACCCAGGUUUCAGCAAGCAAAGCAAAGGCAGCAAAAGCAGAUGCCGUUCAUCCUCUAAACUCCUGGGAGAGUUUCUGAAGCUUUGCUCAGCACCUAGUGAUUCUCUGUUUACCUAAAAUUCUGUCCUGCUAGAGGAUCUGAUUUCCUCUCUCACAGACACCGGAAGGGGUAAAAUAGAAAAGGAGAAGGAACUCUGAGAAUUAGACCUACCAGCCUGAUGAGAAGUGAAGGCUAAACACGGGAGAGAAGAAAGACAAGAAAGAAAGAAGCAGAAUACUUAUUCUGAAGUAGGAACCAGAAUGUCCUGGGGAGAAGGACCGUUGUCAGAGGCCAUCCUGUCUACUUUGGUCUCUCCUCAGGGUGUCGCUUGAUUGCCUGUGAGCAUCAUAAAGCCCUGAGACAUCCAGAGCACUUUCUGUUCUGUUCAGAGUAGAGUCUGUUACAGGAAAGUGUCCGUUCAAAGUGCUUUAGUUUAAAAAUGUUGGCACUAAUAGGGAUAACAUUCAGUUAGCGUCUUCCUUCAAGCAUAUCAUGUGAAUAAGAAUUACUAUAGAUUGCAUUGAAUGAACCCGAAAAUACAUCUAUUUUUAGUAGUAGUAGUAAUCAGAGCAUUUUUAUUUUUACCUCCCAUUUCAAUUGUUUUUUUCCUCUCAAAAUUCCUUCACAUGAGUUACAUGGAAACUACCAACAACUGGGUUUACCCAAGGGAUAAAAAGGACAUGUGCCUACGAGUGCAUUCUUGCUGGUUAAUUUCUUGGGUGUUAACGUGUUUUUCUUUUCUUCAGAGCAGUUUCUCUCCCUUUAAACAACAUAGUAGGUUAAAAAUAACUUAUUUGGGUACUGUACCUGUUUCUGGCUGAGAAAGUAGAAAUUUCAUGAGGAUUGGGGGCUUUGGAAGCACCCCUGCCCUGAACUUCCUCCCCCUUCACCCCACAGCCCUUGAGGCCAGCAUGACCGUCUGUGACAUACCCUGUGAGGCUGUUGCUACAUCCCUAGGCAGGUUACAAAGUCUAUUGCGCUUCCCUGUCUCCUCAUGGUGUAGGUACAUUUUUUUCAGAAGAGGUAUGUAAUUUUUCUUGAUCAGGUGAUCCCUUGAACAACCUUAUUUCUUAUCGUCCCUCAUUAGAAAUCACAAUGUCACUUUGCUGUGUGAUUCUUCUAUGUAGUUCCACAGUUAUUCUUUUCUUUUUUUUUUUUUUUUUUUUCUUUUUUGGCCUUUUUGCCUUUUUCUAGGGCUGCUCCUGCAGCAUAUGGAGUUCCCAGGCUAGGGGUCUAAUCGGAGCUGUAGCUGCCAGCCUCCGCCAGAGCCACAGCAACUCGGGAUCCAAGCCUCGUCUGUGACUUACACCACAGCUCACGGCAAUGCCGGAUCCUUAACCCACUGAGCAAGGGCAGGGAUCGAACCCGCAACCUCAUGGUUCCUAGUCGGAUUUGUUAACCACUGCGCCAUGACAGGAACUCCACACAGUUAUUCAUUGUUAUCUGGGGUAUAAAAGCAUUGCUUUCUCAAGUUUCUCUUCUCUCAACCCCAGAUAAACUAGAUUUUAUUUUUGGAUUAGAGAAGUGUAUAUAUACACGUAAUGGCAGUGCACCUGCCAUCCACUUUAAGCUGUCGCUUCUUUGAGACAGGAGAAAUUGUGUAGCCUGCUGACCAGGAACCUCCAAAGAAGACAGGAGAAGGCAGACACCCCCCGAGGGAACUUCAUAGGUCUUUGACUUUAGAAGUUGGCUCUAGCCUUUGAUUAGGAAAGAAACAGACCCCAAAUGAUCUCCUUUGUACUCUCCUGUAAUAAAGCAAAGGCAUUUCUCUCUGUUCCUUAGAUGGGAUGGGAAAGUGUUUAAUACAGAAAUAGGAAGGGAAAAAAGAAAGUAAUUGCUGAACUGCAUAGUAUCUGUGAAGAAGUAGAUGCAUAAACCCUUCAUUAAUAGAGCUCUUAUUCUGUGCUCAUGGGAGUUUUAUUACUUGCUUGUGCCAGGCACUCUGAUCCACCUCAUUCACAGGUGUCAUUCUUUCUUAAAGCCACAGCUGUGGUGUCCACAGGAUAGAGAAAAUUUGUCCCCUCCCUAUACUGACUUUAAAAAGAAAGCAGAAUAGAAAACUUAAUGCCCUUAAAGUUGAACAGGAAAAUCAGUGGCAUAAAGGAAACAAUAUACUUUAAAAAGAGACCAAAUUAUUGCCUUCGUCUUUGUGCUGCUGGUUGGUGACUGAAAUUUAGUAAAAUUUGAGCAGCCACGGCUGUCUUCCGUUAGUCACAGUUGUCCUGUGUCUUUCAUUCAUCAAGUGGAUUCCCUUGCAUUUUCUCAGUUUUCUGCUUUUGGUUUGUGUCUGGGCUCCUGUUAGGCUCUUCCAGCACAGUGGCCUUUUAGGGUGGUCAGUUGCCACCACCUGAUGCAUAGCAGGCGGGACAGACCCUAAAGAAAGUUGACUUCAGUCCCACAUGCUCCUCCUAAGUUACACUGUCUUGGGACGAUGCCCUGAAGAAACAGCCACGGGAAUGAGGUGUGGCACAGAAAUACUGUCCAGGUGGCGCCUGGUAGUGGAAGACACGCUGAAAUUCUGUGCAGAUAAGGUUGAAACCUGUUCAUGCUUUUGGCAGUUUGUGAAGUGGCUGAGGAAUAGGCUUGGUGAGAGAGGACCUAACAUUUCUUCAUGUCUUUGGUUUGAAAGCUCACCAAUAUCGGUGUGAUUUCUGCCCCACUCCCAAGAACGUCUCCAGUUUCCUUCAGAAAGAAGAGCUUUCUUCCCUGAACUUCCAAGGACAGAUGCCUUUAUAUGCCUGAAAGUCCACUGAAGUUUCUGACUUUUACCCCAGGUGGGGUAGUAGCCCUUCUUAUGAGACCACCAGACCACCAUAACACAGAAGUAUUCUUUUGUUCCCGUUCAUGCUUUGGGAAUAAAAGUGGAUUUUAGUUUUUACUAUUUCCUUGCAGAAGUCUCUUUUUAUCCAAGUCAUCAGAGUAAAACAAUUUCACUUGUGUCUUGACGAUUACUCUGACUGCUUGAUUAACUUCCUAGAUGCAAUAUUUGCUGCCAGUUCUUUCUUUUUGGCUUGGUAUUAAUAUAGAAAAUUCUACAAGAAUAGCCAGGCCUCCCCUCAGAGUGCUCUCAUCCAUUAUAUUAUGCCAGUGAUAAAUGGAAUUAAUUUAUUCUCUGUUGCUUUUUCAUUACCCUAGAACUUAUUCUUUGUCUAUGAAAUAGUUUGACACAAUGAACUUUUCGUUAAUCAUAAGCUAGAACUCCUCAGUGGAGCCCAAAUAGAAAGGGAGGGGCUGUCUGUCUGUCUCUCAGGGGUAACGCUGUUACCUCCAAUAAGUGUGCCGGGAGCAUAGACCCUCUGCUCAGGGUCUGUAAGUUGCUCUGGAAUAAAGUCGCACAGAGUUUCUGAACACUCUGACACUCACUGAUGGUUGGAGCGGCCUCUUCCACCUGCGCAUCAGUUAGCACUGCCGAGAACAAGGAGUUGCAAAGAAGCUUGCUGUGCUGUAGGUUUUAUGUAUUCUGCUGCCUUCUGGGAUUUUCAACACAAAAUUAAUGGAACUUAAAGAAUGCACUUUAGGAGUUCCCGUCGUGGCGCAAUGGUUAACAAAUCCGACUAGGAACCAUGAGGUUGCGGGUUCGAUCAGUGGGUUAAGGAUCUGGCGUUGCAGUGAGCUGUGGUGUAGGUCGCAGAUGCGGCUCAGAUCCUGAGUUGCUGUAGCUCUGGCGUAGGCCGGCAGCUACAGCUCUGAUUCAACCCCUAGCCUGGGAACCUCCCUAUGCCGAGGGAGUGGCUCAAGAAA
rnacentral:lncRNA from 1 species